AUAAGCGGAGGAAAAGAAACCAACAGGGAUUGCCCUAGUAACGGCGAGUGAAGCGGCAACAGCUCAAAUUUGAAAUCGGGCUCCUUCGGGGUCCGAGUUGUAAUUUGCAGAGGGUGCUUUGGCGUUGGCUGUGGUCCAAGUUCCCUGGAACAGGACGUCGCAGAGGGUGAGAACCCCGUACGUGGCCGCCAGCCUCCGCCGUGUAAAGCCCCUUCGAAGAGUCGAGUUGUUUGGGAAUGCAGCUCUAAUUGGGAGGUAAAUUCCUUCUAAAGCUAAAUAUUGGCCAGAGACCGAUAGCGCACAAGUAGAGUGAUCGAAAGAUGAAAAGCACUUUGGAAAGAGAGUGAAACAGCACGUGAAAUUGUUGAAAGGGAAGCGCUUGGAGCCAGACGUGCCCGCAGUUGCUCAGCCGGGGUCCUCCCCGGCGCACUCUUCUGCGGGCAGGCCAGCAUCAGUUUGGGCGGUUGGACAAAGGCCUGCUAAACGUACCUCCCCCCGGGGAGGACUUAUAGGGUAGGCGGCAUACGACCAGCCCGGACUGAGGACCGCGCAUCUGCUAGGAUGCUGGCGUAAUGGCUGUAAGCGGCCCGUCUUGAAACACGGACCAAGGAGUCUAACAUCUAUGCGAGUGUUUGGGUGUCAAGCCCGAGCGCGCAAUGAAAGUGAACGCAGGUGGGAGCCCCUCGGGGCGCACCAUCGACCGAUCCUGAUGUCUUCGGAAGGAUUUGAGUAAGAGCAUAGCUGUUGGGACCCGAAAGAUGGUGAACUAUGCCUGAAUAGGGUGAAGCCAGAGGAAACUCUGGUGGAGGCUCGCAGCGGUUCUGACGUGCAAAUCGAUCGUCAAAUUUGGGCAUAGGGGCGAAAGACUAAUCGAACUAUCUAGUAGCUGGUUCCUGCCGAAGUUUCCCUCAGGAUAGCAGUAACGUUUUCAGUUUUAUGAGGUAAAGCGAAUGAUUAGAGGCAUGGGGGUUGAAACAACCUUCACCUAUUCUCAAACUUUAAAUAUGUAAGAAGUCCUUGUUACUUAGUU
rnacentral:rRNA from 1 species